UACGGAGGAUCCGAGCGUUAUCCGGAUUUAUUGGGGUUUAAAGGGUGCGCAGGCGGGGGAUUAAGUCGGCGGUGAAAUUUUGCAGCUUAACUGUAACAGUGCCGUUGAUACUGGGGGAGCUAGGAUUUGGUUGCUGUGGGUGGAAUGUGUGGUGUAGCGGUGAAAUGCUUAGAGAUCACACAGAAUAUCGAUUGCGAAGGCAGCUCACAAAGCCAAGAUUGACGCUGAGGCACGAAAGUGUGGGGGAUCAAACAGGAUUAGAUA
rnacentral:rRNA from 1 species